GGAGUCACGCGAAGUCGGAAGUACCAGCUGCGGGAAGGAGCUGCCCACUGUGCGUCUUCUCAACUUGUUGGGACAACCUUCCUGCGGAAAGGAGAGACAACCUUCCUGCAGAAAGGAGCUACCUGCUUCAGGUCUACUGAGAGCUGUUCUGCCACUCAAUAAAGCUCUUCUCCAUCUUGCUAAGCCUCCAUUUGUCCGCAAUACCUCAUCUCCCUGGACGCAGGACAAGAACUCAGGACCCGCCUGGAGGUGCCCACAGCAGAAUCCACAUGCCGUCCAUCUGGUCCAGCCUCACGCAGAGCCACAACUGUGCUGGCGCCUGGAGCUGCCAGCCCCACUGCAGCAGCCGGACUGACAUUCAGACGUGGAGCAAGUUGGACUGCAUAGGGACCCACCAGUGAGAUGGACGCUGUCUGUAAACGGGGAAAUUUAUGGAAAGAUGUCCUCCUGCAACUGCUGAAAAUGCAACAUGCUGCCCAGGUCCUGCUCAGACCACUGACAACUCAGAAGUUAAUACUCAGAGUGGAAAGCGUAGCAAAGUGUAGUACAUGAGCAAGCGUUUCAAGCCAGACGGAGUUAAUCAUCUCUGUCACUGAAUUGGAGCUCACGGUCUGCUGGACAACUGUGCUGAGUGGAAAGGAAGCCUCGAUGGCUAAGUCACUUGUCCAACCUCAGACACUGGCAGAUCCAGGAUUCAAACAGCUAGACUCCAAAUGUGUUUCCUUUAACCUCUUUUCUACCUUUUCAACUUGAUUCCACA
rnacentral:lncRNA from 1 species